CCCUUAGAUGUUCUGGGCCGCACGCGCGCUACACUGACCAGUGCAACAAGCAUCCGUCCUUGGCCGACAGGCUCGGGCAAUCUUUGAACGCUGGUCGUGAUGGGGAUAGACUUUUGCAAUUUUUGGUCUUCAACGAGGAAUUCCUAGUAAACGCAAGUCAUCAGCUUGCAUUGAUUACGUCCCUGCCCUUUGUACACACCGCCCGUCGCACCUACCGAUUGAAUGGUCCGGUGAAAUCUCCGGACUGGCGUGAGUCGGAGCAAUCUGACAAACGCCGGAAAGUUGAUUAAACCUUACCAUUUAGAGGAAGGUGAAGUCGUAACA
rnacentral:rRNA from 1 species